CGCAGCCGCAGCGAUGGGAGGAGCCGAGCUCACAAGAAUCAGAUUGCUCCACUCCCCCUUCACUGCUACAAAAGAACAAUGUUGCCCCGUGUAAAACGAUAGCCGCAUACUCACUUACGCUGGAAAUAAAACUGCAAGAACGACGCUCUGCAUGCCAGAGUAAAGCUGCAGCAACUCCCGCAGAAAAUGCAGCUCAAGCUGCUGGGAUUGCAACUGGGAGCACAACUCCUCUGGAGCCUGAAGCGUAGGCAUGGAAAAGAAGGGGAACGCCAGGCUCUGACGCAGGCUGUUGAAGCUGGAGGCCUGCAAGCGGUGAAUGGACAACCACGACGCAGGAACUCUUUGUACUCUGAAUCAAGAGGGGAAAAGACAUUAGCAAAUGUCAAAACAAGUUUCACAUUACAUAGUCGCUAAAGAGUUUGGCAUGCAUAUGUAUCCACUCCCCCUUACUCUGAAGUCCCCAUUUAAAAGCCAAUGAAAAGAAUUCCUAUCAGAAGUUGCCUAUUCAGUCACUUAAAUCCAUUUGUAUGCGAUUCAGUUAUCUAAAUCCAGCUGUUCUGUGAAGGCUCCAGAGGUUUGUUAGAGAACAUCAGUGAACAAACAGGAAAUCAGGAAGACAAAGAAACAGACAGGUUAGGGAUAUAACUGUGGAGAAGCAGGGUUAGGGUCUAAAUCCUUUAAAUGCUAACAGUUCUUCAUCCAUAAAUUGGAAAUGGUAUGCUACAACUGCAAACCCAUCAAAACUGACGGGCCAGAAGAGGAGAGCAUUAACCAGAGAAGCAGUCAAGUGGCUUAUGGUCAUUUUGGAGGAGCUGCAGACAUCCACAGCUCAGGUGGGAGACUCUGUUGACAGAACGAUUAGCUGACCACCAGCAAAUGGCAAGAAGAAAAAUCACGAACGUCUCCUUUGCAGUUUGUUACAAUAUUGGGGACACAGCAACAUGAAACCGGGUGUUCUGAUUGGAAGUGACCAAAGCGGUCUACGUGUAAAAUGCAAUGUGUGGAAGUAAUAAAUCCUCCUGAUUAUGUUUUUAGUAGUAUAUACUA